rnacentral:rRNA from 1 species
AUGCACGCUGGCGGCGUGCCUUAUCCCUGCAAGUCGAGCGAACAGACGCGGAUCUUGCUCCUCUGACGUUAGCGGCGGACGGGUGCGUAACCCGUGGUUCACCUACCUUUAAGUCUGGGAUUACUUCGGUAAACCGGUGCUUUUACCCGAUAAUUUAUUUAACCGUAUGGUUCACUAGUUUAUGUCGGUUUUUUUUUCACUUAUAUAUCUAUCAGCGCUGCAUUAGAUAGUUGGUAAGGUAACGGCUUACCAAGGCAACGAUGCGUAGCCGACCUGAGAGUGUGAACGGCCACACUGGAAGUGAGAAAGGGACCAGACUCCGACGGGAGGCAACAGUAGGGAAUCGUACGCAAGGGGCGAAAGCCGGACGGAGCAACGCCGCGGGAGUGAUGAAGGUCAACGGAUCGUAAAACUCUGUAAGUAGGGAAGAAAAAAUGUGUAAGUAACUAGGCACGUAAUGACGGUACCGAAACAGAAAGCCACGGCUAACUACGUG